UCAAAUGUGGGCUGGAGCUGU
rnacentral:misc_RNA from 1 species